UACGGGGGGGGUAAGCGUUGUUCGGAAUUACUGGGCGUAAAGGGCUCGUAGGCGGCCAACUAAGUCAUACGUGAAAUCCCUCAGCUUAACUGGGGAACUGCGUGUGAUACUGGAUGGCUUGGAUUUGGGAGAGGGAUGCGGAAUUCCAGGUGUAGCGGUGAAAUGCGUAGAUAUCAGGAAGAACACCCGUGGCGAAGGCGGCUCUCUGGUACGUGACUGACGCUGAGACGCGAAAGCGUGGGGAGCAAACAGG
rnacentral:rRNA from 1 species